GACGAACGCUGGCGGUGUGCUUAACACAUGCAAGUGGUGCGACGAACCAGAGCUUGCUCUGGGGCAAAGCCGCGGACGGGUGAGUAACACGUGGGUAAUCUACCCCGAUGACCGGGACAACCCGAGGAAACUCGGGCUAAUACCGGAUGUGGUGCGGAGACAUAAGUCUCUUCACUAAAGGUAGCUUCGGCUUCCGCAUUGGGAGGGGCCCGCGGCCCAUUAGCUUGUUGGUGGGGUCAAGGCCUACCAAGGCAACGAUGGGUAGCUGGUCUGAGAGGACGAUCAGCCACACUGGGACUGAGACACGGCCCAGACUCCUACGGGAGGCAGCAGUGGGGAAUCUUGCGCAAUGCGCGAAAGCGUGACGCAGCAACACCGCGUGAGGGAAGAAGGCCUUAGGGUUGUAAACCUCUUUCAGAUGGGACGAAGGUUCUCCGGUGAAUAGCCGAGAGGAUUGACGGUACCGUCAGAAGAAGCUCCGGCUAACUACGUG
rnacentral:rRNA from 1 species